GAUGAAGAACGUAGCGAAAUGCGAUACCUAAUGUGAAUUGCAGAAUUCAGUGAAUCAUCGAAUCUUUGAACGCAUAUUGCGCUCUCUGGUAUUCCGGAGAGCAUGCUUGUUUGAGUAUCAGUAAACACCUCAACUCCCUUUUCUUUUUUGAAAUGGGAGCUGGACUUGAGUGAUCCCAACACUUUUCUCACUGGAAAGUGGCGGGUCACUUGAAAUGCAGGUGCAGCUGGACUUUUCUCUGAGCUAUAAGCAUAUCUAUUUAGUCUGCCUAAAAAACAGAUUAUUACCUUUGCUGCAGCUAACAUAAAGGAGAUGAGUUCUUGUGCUGACUGAUGCAGGAUUCACAGAGACAGCUUUGCGGCUGACUUUGUAAACUCGAUCUCAAAUCAAGUAAGACUACCCGCUGAACUUAAGCAUAUCAAUAAGCGGAGGA
rnacentral:misc_RNA from 1 species